ACCCGCCCCACCCCAGACAGCCAUUGUGACCCCCUUCCCAUGCACCCUGAUGCAUGCUGUGGGCAUUUGGGGUAAUGGAAAAGCCGGCGGGGUCUAAGGCGGGGUGAGGACCCAGCCGGGCCAGGGAGGGGGAGGAUGGCACUCCAGGGAUCCCCGAGAGAAAAGAGGGCGGAGCUGCAGAAAGGCUGGUGCCCCUGGUUUCGACCCAGGGGAAGAGGAGCAGGUGCUGAGUGACUACACCCCUGUCGCUGGGCCACCCUGUGAGUCCACGCUGUGCUCCCCAAGCUCUGUCAGGAUUUCCCAGGAUGGAGAGUGGAGUGGGGUCCAGUUCAGAAUUAAACUCCAUGAUCUUAGACCAAAGACACCCCCAUGAGCUCCCGGAGGUGACAACAUCGAACUCGUCACACCAAGUUUCAUGGAUCCCAGGGGCCCUCGGCGUGAAGAAGUCACAACACAGUUUCAGGAAGUGGAACCACCCAGUGGGACCAGAAGCACCUCAUCGCCUUCUGCUAUCAGCCCAGGACCCAACGCCCUCACCAUCACGGCCGGUGGGGAGGCCUUUCCUGCAGACACCAGGCCUGGAUGGUCGGGGACCACGCACCCCACAGGGACGGAGUCACAGGCCCAGGGGAUCUUGUGGGAGACCCUGGAGCCAGGUCUGGAUUCGAAGUCAGGUGCGGCUGAUGACAAAGACCAUUCCGCCCGCACCCCGGGUGUGCCCGGGGAAACCUGCUACUUCCAGAAAUGCAGGAGCAGCAACGGGAAGCGGGGGCGGGGAAGGCGGGGAUGAGGGCACAGAGCUGGGAAGCCAGUCCUGGCAGCCGGUCUGACUUCGCUCUCCAGACUUCUGACAGGUUCUCUGCUUACUCUCAAUUACCAGGUUUGUGCUGUUUCUACAAACCAGCCUCCAAAACAUGGGAGAGGGCUUUGCUUCCCAGAAAACGAGGCGAAAUGUCAAAGGCUGGGAAGGAAGCCAAGAACAUUCCGGCUCCCCCAAAGAUCCAGGUCUGCAUUCCCCUCCGUGGCCCAGUUCCUGGGACGUUUCAUUCUUUAGCGGUGCCGGUGGGGGGCGGGGGGGCCAGGGGUUGGGGUAUGGGAGGUAGGGAGGCUGGUGCGGGAGAGCCAGGAGGGUGCUCUGCCCUCCCCUCUGUGUGACUCUCAGCUGCUCUAUUUCCCCAUCCCUGUCUCCUUUUGCGUCUCUGUCUGUUUCUGCCAUUCUUUGUCUCUCUGUCCUUUCUCUGUGUCUCUAUUUCUCUGUGUAUCUCUUUUUUUCUGUCUGUCUCUGUCUGUCUCUCUAUGUCUCUUUGUCUCUCUUCAUCCCUGUCUCUCACUGUCUCUCGCUGUCUCUCAGUGUCUCUGUUUCUCUGUCUCUUUCUGUCUCUGUCUCUCUGUCUCUUUUUGUGUCUCCUUCUCUGUCUUUAUCUCUCUGCCAAGGGCACUGAUUUCUGACUCACAUGGGGUCCACCCAGACCCCCAAACCGACACAUGGUCAAUAUCCACAGGAAGGAACCCAGAAGCUUGGAGGUCCCUGCCCCAGGUGUCCCCCCAUUCUGGAGGACGGGCUGUGACAGUCUCUGAACCUCUAGCUCAGCCUCUGAGCACAGAUCAGGAAGAAUCAGAGUCCGGAGCUCAGCACUUUUCUAUGUCCUUAAGCAGGAGGUCCCCGGGCUAGAGCCUCACCGGGAGCCCCCAGGGCAGAGAGCUGCCACCUGGCUGGACCAGCCCAGCCCUCACGGCUCUGGUCUGAAACCAAGGGUCAGACAGGCUUGAGCCUCGGUUGGUCAAGCAUCUGCUAAGUAGCCCCGUGCCCAAACCAGGCUCUGUCCAGCACUCCAGGCAGGGCAGCAACACCUCCCUCUGGGCCAGCUGCAGGCAGGGCCUUGGUGAAAAUGGCAAUGAGGACCUUGCCGGGCCAGCUGCUCUGUGCACCCACCCUCAGAAGGCCUUCAGGAGCCCCCAGGCCAUGGCUGGCGGAGUGCUUUGAGGUGGUGUCCCUCUGCCCACUGAGGCAGCCCCUCCUGGACUGCUGCUAUUCCCCUGCCUGGUCCUGCCCACACUCCUUCUUGGUCCAGUACAAGGGUCACUCCCUGGAGGCCGUCUGCUCUGUUGAGCAGCCCCACCUCCUGCCCCGAUGUGAGAGCCCAGCCCCAGCCCCUCAGAGUGAGUCACACGUCUCGAACCUGCCCCUGUGGGUGGCCAGUCCCACCUGCCAAAACCUUCUUUAAGACCAUCGUGUCCCCAGGUCCAAGCCUGUCUCCCUGUCACUCACGUGCAGCCUUGAGGCUGGGCACUGCAGGCCCCAGAGCCUCCCGCAGCCCAAGCACCUGCCUGGUCCUUGGACUAGGCCACACCCCAGCCACACAUCACAUCCCUCAUCACAGCUGGAGUCACAGCUGGGGCAGGGGACAUCUGCUUCCCCACUGGACUCAGUGGUCCCUGAAAACGGGCUAUGUCUGCUGGGCCACCAUGGUGCGGCCAGCCCCCAGUUGUGCCGGGCACCCAGAAAAGGCUAGCAGAUAUUUGCUGGAAGAAUGCUUGUUGACAGGAGGACGUGAAAUGAUGAACGUUUCAUUCAGGAGCUGGGUUUGGCAUCAAUUCUACGUUUAUCUGCAGAGUCCGUCCCAGGCUUCCCAGACACCCUCAAGGAAGACAGACAAGGCUGAUGUUUAGGUUGUUUGAAUUAAGGAAGAUCUCGGGUCAGCAAGUCCUGCCCCCAUUCUACAGAUGGGAACGCCGUGACGGAAAGGCUGGCACAGACACCCCAAGCAUGGGAGGCGCAGGCCCUGUGGUGUCUGCACAUUUGGGGAGGGAAGUCUGACCUGGCCAGGGGGCCCUGAGAGGCCAGAUCCCAUGUCACUUCGCAAGGCAAUGGCAAAACCCUGCAACCAGAUGGUACUUCUCCUGCCAGGCCAGUCCCUCCUGGGCAAAGGCACAAACAGAACUGCUCAUGCUCCUCCCCUCACACCUACUGGAGCCUGAGCUUCCCCUUCCUCCCCUAUCCUGUGCCCAGCACCAGCCUCCUCUCCCCACUGUGCUGGUCUAAAGUUGCCCUGGCCACCAGCCCGACCCUGGCAUGAGCCACCGUAGCUGCACAGCCUCCUCACUGGACCUCCUUCUUCUGCCUCCAGAGGGAGCUUCCCAGAGCAGGAGUCUGGCCCACUCUCACUUAAAACCCUCAACCACACAACAGGGACAAACCCACCCUGUGCCAGGCUCAUCAGACCCCGGGGAACAGCCUCACCCCCAACCAGGACCACCCAGGUCCUCACAGGGACAGACCUCCCCUCCUGCAAGGCCCCGGCAUUCCCACUAACAUAGCCCCCUUCCACCGAGGCAUUUUCCAGUCCCCCUCCUGACAUUCCCCAUGACAGGCACCACCGCGGAAUCACGACCUUCACUUCCGAUUCUCUCCUGCACCGGGACACGGACCCAGGAGGGCAGGGGUUUUGCUGGACUGGUGGAGGGUUCCCAGCGUGAGGCCUGGCAGGCAGUGGGGUCCAGCGAUGGAUGCAUGAAUGAAGCCCCCAGGCACCCCCUUCUUGCCCUGGAACCCCCUUCCUUAGUUCCGCCCUCUCUCCCACUCUGUCCCUGAGGCCUGGGCAGUCAGGCAUUCCCAGGUGCCUCCCUGU
rnacentral:lncRNA from 1 species